GACGAACGCUGGCGGCGUGCCUAAUACAUGCAAGUUGAGCGCUGAAGGUUGGUACUUGUACCGACUGGAUGAGCAGCGAACGGGUGAGUAACGCGUGGGGAAUCUGCCUUUGAGCGGGGGACAACAUUUGGAAACGAAUGCUAAUACCGCAUAAAAACUUUAAACACAAGUUUUAAGUUUGAAAGAUGCAAUUGCAUCACUCAAAGAUGAUCCCGCGUUGUAUUAGCUAGUUGGUGAGGUAAAGGCUCACCAAGGCGAUGAUACAUAGCCGACCUGAGAGGGUGAUCGGCCACAUUGGGACUGAGACACGGCCCAAACUCCUGCGGGAGGCAGCAGUAGGGAAUCUUCGGCAAUGGACGAAAGUCUGACCGAGCAACGCCGCGUGAGUGAAGAAGGUUUUCGGAUCGUAAAACUCUGUUGGUAGAGAAGAACGUUGGUGAGAGUGGAAAGCUCAUCAAGUGACGGUAACUACCCAGAAAGGGACGGCUAACUACGUG
rnacentral:rRNA from 1 species